AUCCCCAGCCCCGGAAUUUGGCUUUUCUUGUUCCAGUCUACAGCAGUCCGCAGAUCCUUAACUUGCCAAGAAGUUUGCAAACGCCUGGGCCUGAUUAUGAGGGGGAACGGAUGAUUCCCCAGCCCGCACACUCCCUGCUGCCGGGUCAACAGCGUUCUCUUUGUGUGUGAAGGACGGCUUACUGCUUCUGAUGACUCACAGGCAGGGAGUAGGAGGGAGAAAGUCUGAACACUGGCUAGAAGCGGCCCUUCUGCUCCCACAGGCACAGCCACAGUACAGCACGGAACAAAUGAUUCAAACUCUGCUCCACAGCCUUCACCUGUGAACCCCGAUGUGUGCGGUGGAAACCGCUCCAAUGCUACCCGCCCUCGUAUCUCAGGUAACUUUCUCGCUGGGGACUUUUGCCUUAUUUCGUGAUCACGAGCUUAUGUUUUUGAGGACGAACUUAAGCUGCACCCACAUGCAGACGCUUGUGGCUUUCAGGCCACCGGACCACUUAAACCUCCGCCUUUCUUCUUGGUGCACCGUGAAAUCUACGAGCAGCGUCCUUCUUCGCUAUAGUAAACAUUUUGCUUUUGAGGCUUUCAGGGUCAACGAGAGUGAAAGCAUUCUUCUGUGUAUCUUCACAUCAAAGGAUGUUUGUCUCCUGGUUUCUAAACCCCACCAUUAAACAUCGUCCAUUACACAGCACCGCGCUAGGCCUUCUCUGAGCACGCUACCAAAUAGGCGAGGGCCAUGGUACGGACGAGUGAUGGUGGUUAAUUAUCCUGCAGUUUCUAGGUCUACAUCCCAUGCAGCUCUACAGAAGCAAGUAUUCUUAAAGUCAAUCUAAAAAUACAUUACUGAGAGCGCUCUCAUUUUCCUACGAGUUUCCAGAUAAUUCUCAAGAAAUGCUAUCAUAGGUUCUAGUAUGGCAAUGGGCUCCGGCACGUGUCACUAAGCCUGAUGACCUAAACUCAGUUCCCAGGACCCACGUGGUGGAAGAAGACCGAACCCCCACACACUUCAAGCGCUUCUGUACACAAAACAAUAAAUAAACAAAUGCAGUAACCAAGAAUGAUCUUGCUUAAACCGCACUCAGGAAAAAACGUGUUUGCUCAUUUUAUAUUUUCUCUAAGUUGGAAUUCAUUUUUUAAGAUCUAUUUCUGUAUCGUGAGUGUUUGUCUGCCCGUAUAUAAGUACACCGUGUGGGUGCAGUGCCCCCGAAGGACAGAAGAAAGUGCUGGGUCCCCUGAACUGGAGUUACAGACAGUUGUGAGCUGCCAUGUGGGUACCGGGACCUGAACCCUGGUUCUCUGCAAGAGCAGCCAGUGCUCUAACCACUGGACAACCUCACCAUUUUCUUCUUAGCUGGAAUUUAGAAAAGAGUAGCUACAAGAUGGGAGGGAAAAAUCAUAUUAGUAUAAAUUAAUUGUACACAAUAAUGUACAUAUUAUGUUGUAUUGACAUGUGUACAUAAUAUACUUCGAUCAAUCAUUCCCUUACAAACUUAUUUUGACUACAACUGAAUAGUUAUAAGGAAAACGCUUAUGCAUACAGCGUAAUAUCUUCCUUUGGUUUUGGCAGGUAAAAAUCAAAGAUGCAGGAAGUCUGACUACUUUUACGGGGGAAAGCACUCUCCCAAAAUGAUAAGAAGAACAGAAGAAAACAAAAACCAAGAUAUUUUUAAUGGACAGUUAAGCCAUAGGAUAAAGCUCUGCUCUUGGAAGCUGGCAUGGCGCCUGGCUCCUCCAAAUGGCCGCAGAAACGUACUACUGUCUACAGAUCCCACAGCAGGAGUGAGAUUCGGAGUUCUACAGUGGUAAGGGCAAAGCAGUGUGAUUUUAAAUAAAAAUACUAUCAUGAUUG
rnacentral:sRNA from 1 species